rnacentral:rRNA from 1 species
GAUGAACGCUAGCGGCAGGCUUAAUACAUGCAAGUCGUGGGGCAGCAUGAGUAGCAAUACUUGAUGGCGACCGGCAAACGGGUGAGGAACACGUACACAACCUUCCUUCAAGCGGGGAAUAGCCCAGAGAAAUUUGGAUUAAUACCCCAUAAUAUAUUUGAUAAGGCAUCUUAUUAAUAUUAAAGCUUCGGCACUUGAUGAUGGGUGUGCGGCUGAUUAGAUAGUUGGCGGGGUAACGGCCCACCAAGUCUACGAUCAGUAGCUGAUGUGAGAGCAUGAUCAGCCACACGGGCACUGAGACACGGGCCCGACUCCUACGGGAGGCAGCAGUAAGGAAUAUUGGACAAUGGACGAAAGUACUGAUCCAGCCAUGCCGCGUGAAGGAUUAAGGUCCUCUGGAUUGUAAACUUCUUUUAUAUGGGACGAAAAAGGGCAUUCUUGUUCACUUGACGGUACCAUAUGAAUAAGCACCGGCUAACUCCGUGCCAG